AGUUCUAUUCUGCAAGCUCAGAGAUGCAAAAAGCCUGCGGCGCUCUGGAGGCGCCUGGUCCUGGGGACCUCUUUCCUCCACUCUGUUCUCAGCAUAGGAAGAUGGGGCUGGGGAAUUCUUUUUGGUUUUCUGGUUUUGUUUUGCUCUGGUUUUGGUCGGGGUUUUGUAUUUUUCUAUUCUUCCUUGGUUUUAUUUUUUCCUUUUUUUCCUUUUUUUUUUUCUUUUGCUUUCCUGUCAUUCUCCCAGCCAAAAGCCGCCUUCGACCCUUUUGAUUUGAUGUAGCAAAGAGUGUGUGUCCAGAUUAUCUGAAAUAGACACUGAAGAAGCUACAUAGAUGGUCAAGCAGGGCCCGGAAGAAGACCAUUCAGGAAAAAGUGGUCCAGGACUCGGUGGAUGGGCUGCCGGCAGACCGGUGUGGCUCAGACCUGGUGACUUUUUGGAGAGGUCGUAGAAUGAGGACAGCAGACACACGAGGACCUUGACUUCGGCGCACAGACAGUGCAAAAAGGAGACAAAGACGGACAGAAUCAAAAAAGAGCGUAUUUCCCCCUCCUACGUAUUUGUUUUUCCUGAUAGUCUCACAAAGAUGAGAGUCUGGUCCGGUCCAGCGGGUUAUCUUGUGGCACUGGCUGUCUCCAGUGGCUGUGCCUGCGCUUUGAGGCCACUCUGCUGUUCACCGUGGCCCAAACCAGAUUCGGGCUGAAAGGUCGCUGAGUCAGACUUUUAGGGGCUCCGAGAAGCAGCAAGCCCUCUGCCUUCACUGUUCCUUUUUCUUUUAUUUUUAGCUCCCCACCCCCACCCCUGCUCCCGCUCGUGGGCUCUUCUCCUCCUGGCCCAGGGCGUGCGAAAAGGUGGAUGAACCUGGAGGCGGGAGGGGCCGGGCCAAGGGAGACGGGCAGGAAUUGGGUCGUUCCCAAGAGCGCAGCUAUUGCCUUUGCAGAGAAAGUUUGCUAUUUUUUGCAGGCGGUAGUUGAGGUUUAAUUACCCUUAAUUGCAUACAUUGUUUAUAGCGCUACGCAAUAAAUAAUUACCGAGACUAA
rnacentral:lncRNA from 1 species